rnacentral:rRNA from 1 species
UAGGGAAUCUUCCACAAUGGACGCAAGUCUGAUGGAGCAACGCCGCGUGAGUGAAGAAGGCUUUCGGGUCGUAAAACUCUGUUAUUGAAGAAGAACGUGUGUGACAGUAACUGGUCAUGCAGUGACGGUAUUCAAUCAGAAAGUCACGGCUAACUACGUGCCAGCAGCCGCGGUAAUACGUAGGUGGCAAGCGUUGUCCGGAUUUAUUGGGCGUAAAGCGAGUGCAGGCGGUCUUUUAAGUCUGAUGUGAAAGCCUUCGGCUUAACCGAAGAAGGGCAUCGGAAACUGGGAGACU